CGGCGAGUGAAGCGGCAAAAGCUCAAAUUUGAAAUCUGACAUCUCUGAUGUUCGAGUUGUAAUUUGGAGAGACAUCUUCUGGAGGGACCCAGCCUAUGUGCCUUGGAACAGGACAUCAUAGAGGGUGAGAAUCCCGUUCUUGGCUGGAUGUUUCCUCCUCCAUGUAGUGUCUUCUACGAGUCGAGUUGUUUGGGAAUGCAGCUCAAAAUGGGUGGUAAAUUUCAUCUAAAGCUAAAUAUUGGCGAGAGACCGAUAGCGCACAAGUAGAGUGAUCGAAAGAAGAAAAGCACUUUGAAAAUAGAGUCAAAAAGUACGUGAAAUUGUUGAAAGGGAAGCGCUUGAGAUCAGAGUCAGCCUUUGGCAAACAACUSUCCUUAUGGGCAGUGCACUUGCAWUUGGUUGGGUCAGCAUCGGUUGGGACGGGGG
rnacentral:rRNA from 1 species